rnacentral:tRNA from 1 species
GCGGCUCUACUCCAACAGGUAGAGAGGCCACUCUCAGAAAGUGGACGUUCCGGGUUCGACUCCCGGGAGCCGCA